GAUGAACGCUAGCGGGAGGCCUAACACAUGCAAGCCGAGCGGUAGAGAUCUUUCGGGAUCUUGAGAGCGGCGUACGGGUGCGGAACACGUGUGCAACCUGCCUUUAUCAGGGGGAUAGCCUUUCGAAAGGAAGAUUAAUACCCCAUAAUAUACUGGAUGGCAUCAUCUGGUAUUGAAAACUCCGGUGGAUAGAGAUGGGCACGCGCAAGAUUAGAUAGUUGGUAGGGUAACGGCCUACCAAGUCAGUGAUCUUUAGGGGGCCUGAGAGGGUGAUCCCCCACACUGGUACUGAGACACGGACCAGACUCCUACGGGAGGCAGCAGUGAGGAAUAUUGGACAAUGGGUGAGAGCCUGAUCCAGCCAUCCCGCGUGAAGGACGACGGCCCUAUGGGUUGUAAACUUCUUUUGUAUAGGGAUAAACCUUUCCACGUGUGGAAAGCUGAAGGUACUAUACGAAUAAGCACCGGCUAACUCCGUGCCAGCCGCCGCCGUAACAC
rnacentral:rRNA from 1 species